AAGUCGUAACAAGGUCUCCGUAGGUGAACCUGCGGAGGGAUCAUUAACACAAGUGAGCAGCACCAGCGAACGGGCGACUCGAAAGAGCACCAACGCUGGUGAUGACACUUUUGUGUCUAGUGCCAACUAGCGCGCUCUCCUCCGCUCUGCAACUAUUACGAACUAGAAUAGAGUACAACUCUUAGCAACGGAUAUCUUGGUUCUC
rnacentral:misc_RNA from 1 species